CCCUGUUUCCUGGAAGACAGGGUGCCUUUGGCAACUUCAAUUCACCCGGGUUCAACUAGCUAAUAAGUGUGCUGGGUCAGGAGGAGGGUGGUCAAGGUUUUCCAAUUAUGAGCCCUUGAAGAGAGGGCUUCAGGGCCUGAGAAGGUCUGAACAUGACCCCUGUCCAUGGGCGGUGGAGCGGGGCUAGAGAGGAGCAUGCCUUGGCUUUGCACUCAGAUGAAACUGAGUUUAAUGACUACCUCUGGGGCCCUGCUGGGACCACACCUGCAUUGAUGUUCGCCUGGAUGCGGCCAGUCUCCGUAUGCCUCCCAGGACUGCAUCUUGACCCCUCAGCCAGGCUGGAUGCUCCCAGAGAACGCCUGUUUGCUCUUCUUCCAUCUCCAUCACCUCCAUCCUCCCAAACCCAGAACAGAGUAUGAGCCCAAUAGACCUCACAAAUGACCCACGACACUCGAGUCCCACCCCAAUCUCUACACAACACUGCUGUGCGGGCGUUUCCACAUGGCCCUGAGGACCAGCUCCACACUCCUCAAAGGGGUUCCUGACCCAGACAAGACUAAGAACCUGUGCCAGCCGCUAGGGAAAUGGAGACCCAGACAGGAAGUUAGGAGGUUUCUUAGAUCUGCAUUUUGGGUGGAAGAGCAAGGACUCAAACCAAGGUCUUCUGGCACCGAAGUCUGGCUCCCUAGAAAGUAUGGUAGCCCACCUGAAGUCACCUGUGCCCCAGGGUGUGGGCCAGCCCCACCAACAACUCCCUUUGUUACUCCAGGCACGUCCCUGACCCCUGGGGCCUCAGGGUGGAGGUGAUGAGCAGAGCAUAAAUCCGCUCAGUGCGAGCAAGCUCUGCUGGAAUCACCAUGACAAAUCAUUUAUCCAGCCUAAAAUCAGAAGGGACAUGGGGUGGGAGAGGCCCCUGGGGGCCGAGUGGGCCUGUUGCGCCUCCUUGGAUACAGGCACCAACCUGCGCACUGCCCUUUUCAUCUGGUCUGCCUGGCUCCCUAUAGGCAGUGCCUACUCACUGCGCUCUCCAGGACAAGGCAAAAGCCAGGCCAGCUCCCCAGGCCCCUGGCCCCUGGCAAUGGCAUCACUCCCACAGACCCAGAGCUUCCACAACUGAGACAACUCCCAGGGUGCUGGCCAGUUGAGCCCAUGAGUGUCCUUAUUCACAGACAGUUUAUCCUCAGCAGCCCAGUACCCACCACCUGCUGUUAGAGCCUCCCCUGCUGACCUGGGGUCACCGAGGCCCAUUAGGAUGUCCAGUCCAGCCUUGUCCAAAGGCUUCCCCAAGACGCUCGGUGGAUACAAAGGGCCCAGGACUUGGGAAAGCUGCGCGGCAAAGCUGGUCUUAAAGACUGAGAGCCCAUUGCACAUUCCAGGCCCAGACAAGGCUUUCAGGAGAAAACAAGACCAAAUUUCUUAAGCAUCCUAUAUAUGCGUGUGAGAGUGUUUCCACAUGUACUUUAUAAGCACAGAGAGAGACACGCGAGGAAACAUCGCUUGCUCUGCAAAGUGAGAACGACGAAGAGUGGUGAUGAUCGAUGUUUGCUUUAUAUGACUCUGCACUUUGUGUGUGUCUCAGUGAGUCUGCAUUUUCUCUGAAAUUAAAUCAAUUAUUUUAAUAAAAAAGAGUUGGGAGAAAAAGCUGCUGAACUUUAACCCAGCAUUUCCCAAACUCACCUGAUGAUGAGUUGCUGUUCUGUGCAACGCCUAGAAAUGUCAGAGAUAUGCAUAGACUGUAGUCUGGAGACAGAUAAACUUACCCAGCUUUUAAUACAUAAGACCAUCGUGCCUUCUGAUGCUGAGAGGCAGAAACAGGAAGAGGCUUGCAGAAUACAGACACUCCAUCAACAUCAGACUGGAGCCCAGAGCUCCCUACAGCCCAGUCCUAACCCUGCUGCUCUGCCAGUUCCCUCUUUAAGUAGGAGGGACAUUACUCCAGGGGUGGUGGAGUGGUUGUGGCAGUGACACAGAAGCACCUGGCAGGGAGGGUGACAGGGCCACAGAGGAGUCGGGCAGAGCCAGUAUUGGGAAGACACAAGCUGCUCUAAGAGAAGAACUGAAAAUCAUGUGAUCACACAGUACACCCCUGACAUCCUACAGCCACAGACCAAAUCCCUGCUCCAGCCCUUCUGGCUUCUACCCAGCAAGUUGCCUAAUCCCCCUGGGCAUGGAGUGGAAUAGGGGUUGGAUGGAAUGACCCCUAGAGUCUCUUCAGCCCAAGAUUCCAGGGGCUUCACAAUGAUCAGCAUGGGCACUAUCCUGCAAAUCAUCGCCUCCACCUUAUAAGUGACGUAAUCAAGACUCAGACAGGUUAAUUGACUUCUUCAAGGUCAACAGAGAAUAAAAACGGAGUCCAAGACCCAUGCUGUCAUUGGCCUUGCCAUUGGUCAUCCUCUGCUUUGUGGCUUCAGGAACUGCUAUUUGUGUCUGAGCCAGCCACAGUGUGAGACAGAUGGUGUUUCCAGUACAGGCUCCACCUACUAAGUGUACAAUCUGGACCUGUUGAGUAACCACCCUGAGUCUGUUUACUCCUCUAUAAUUGGGAACAUCAUCUCAUUGGUUAUAUGGCAAUAUCAUCACAUCAACUUAGCACAGGGCCCCACACACUUAAGUUUUUGCUGAAUUAGAACUAUUAUUGUUACCAUCAUUCUAUAAAUUUAUCCUAUGGUUGAGAGAAAAAGGAGAGGCAGGGAUUGAACUCAAGAUCUACUGAUCUAUUCAAGAUCUAUUCAAGAUCAGUAGAUCUACCUCCUCCUGUGCAGGAGGAAAUCUGCACAGACACAUUCCAGCCCCUGUCUGGAACCUCAGUUUCCCCAUCUAUAAUAAGAGAGGCUAUACUGGGUGACUUCUGGGAGCCCCCAGAUCUAUAGUCUGCAUGGAAUAAAGCUCCCAUGAAAUGCUUUUUUCCCACCAUGGGCUGGAGAAGUUUGCCUUCCAGCAACCUAUAAUCCUUCCUGGGAGAUGGGCAUGUAGGGGUGGUGAAAGGGAGGAGGGACAGGCAGGAACAGGACCCAAGACAGAGUGGAGAGGAGAUGACUUCGGCACUUCCUGUAUGCCAGGCACUGGGAUAGGAGCUUUACACAGACUAACUCAUUCAGUCCCCAGAACAAACCUGUGGGGUUGAUACUAGUUAACCAUUUUACAGACAAGGAUACUUACAACCAUAGAAACAAAGUAACGUGCCCAAGGUCACAGGGUUGAUGAGGCAGGACUUGAACCCAGACCUCCCAGACCUUCAUGGCUUCAAAGACUGUGCCCUGAACCACUGGGUGAUGCGAGCUCUGGGUCUGCCUGCAGAGACAGAGACGUGC
rnacentral:lncRNA from 1 species